GACGAACGCUGGUGGCGUGCUUAACACAUGCAAGUCGAGCGGUAAGGCCCUUUCGGGGGUACACGAGCGGCGAACGGGUGAGUAACACGUGGGUGACCUGCCCUUAGCUCUGGGAUAAGCCUGGGAAACUGGGUCUAAUACCGGAUAUGACUCCAUGACGCAUGUUGUGGGGUGGAAAGCCUUGUGCGGCUAGGGAUGGGCCCGCGGCCUAUCAGCUUGUUGGUGGGGUGAUGGCCACCAAGGCGACGACGGGUAGCCGGCCUGAGAGGGCGACCGGCCACACUGGGACUGAGACACGGCCCAGACUCCUACGGGAGGCAGCAGUGGGGAAUCUUGCGCAAUGGGCGAAAGCCUGACGCAGCGACGCCGCGU
rnacentral:rRNA from 1 species